UCCCUGGUGUCUUAGAUGGUAAAGAAUCUGCCUGUGAUGUGGGAGACCCAGGUUUGAUCCCUGGGUGGGGAA
rnacentral:tRNA from 1 species